rnacentral:rRNA from 1 species
AACGAACGCUGGCGGCAUGCCUAACACAUGCAAGUCGAACGAGACCUUCGGGUUUAGUGGCGCACGGGUGCGUAACGCGUGGGAACCUGCCCUUAGGUUCGGAAUAACUCCCCGAAAGGGGUGCUAAUACCGGAUAAUGUCUUCGGACCAAAGAUUUAUCGCCUUUGGAUGGGCCCGCGUUGGAUUAGCUAGUUGGUAGGGUAAAAGCCUACCAAGGCGACGAUCCAUAGCUGGUCUGAGAGGAUGAUCAGCCACACUGGGACUGAGACACGGCCCAGACUCCUACGGGAGGCAGCAGUGGGGAAUAUUGGACAAUGGGCGAAAGCCUGAUCCAGCAAUGCCGCGUGAGUGAUGAAGGCCUUAGGGUUGUAAAGCUCUUUUACCCGGGAUGAUAAUGACAGUACCGGGAGAAUAAGCGCCGGCUAACUCCGUG